GAUAGUGAGGGACCGUAAAGUGACCUACCCAUUGAAGUUUAUGAGGAUCCUGUGGAUCCGCAAACCUUGAGUGCAUGAUUGUUUUCACACUCUGAUUAGUCCAAUAGCAUAAUGAUAGAAGUGGCUCUUUUUGUAUUUUGACAUUUGUAUUUUAUAGCUACUUCUGACCUCAGUUAUAUGUGUAUUUAGAACUCAUAUAUUUUGUACGAAAUUUUUAUUAAUUUGCUCCACUGCAUAUAAUUUUUAUCAUGCAUUCAU
rnacentral:lncRNA from 1 species